rnacentral:Y_RNA from 1 species
AGCUGGUCCAAGUGAGGUGGAGUUUACAUUUCAUUGAUCACAGCCAGUUACAGAUUUCUUUGCUCCUUCUCCACUCUCAUUGUUUCACUUGACUAGCCCUAA